AGAAUAAAAGCAAGCAGAGGAACGUGGAAGGAUGAGACUGGCUGAGUCUUCUGGUCUUCAUCUUUCUCCCAUGCUGGAUGCUUCCUGCCCUUGAACAUUGGACUGCAAGUUCUUUAGCUUUUGGACGUUUGGACUUACACCAGUGGUUUGCCAGGGGCUCUCAGACCUUCUGCCACAGACUGAAGGCUGCACUUUCAGCUUCCCUACUUUUGAGGUUUUGGAACUCGGACUGGCUUUCUUGCUCCGCAGCUUGCAGGUGGCCUGUUAUGGGACUUUACCUUGUGGAUCAUAACUGAGAACCCUCUCUUGGGAUCUGGAUCAGGACCCCUUUCUGGUAACAUCUUCCUGGCAAACCCCAAAGGGAUGAUACUGAGGAGACUUCUGACCCAAAGGAAAUGGACUGGAGCACCAAUUGGCUAACUUUGGCUUGGCCCCCAGUGCUAUGGUGCACUGAGCUGGGUUACUAGGGCCACUUAGGAAAAGGGAACCCAGAAGCCUAGCAUGCGGCAAAAGGAAUCAAGAAAAACUUUUUUUUAAGCUACUUGUAGCUUUUCACAAUUGAGUAAGGUAUACUCCUGUAAACAAAAUUUGGAGCACAUUCGUCUCUCUCUACCUGAUUUCUCCAGAAUUUGAAAACUAGUUGACAACUUUGUGCCCUGUCUUCCAGUUUAACAUGGAGCUUUCAGUCUGUAAUGCAGAGGAUCCUCUAGGGUAUAACUCCACAAGGCAGAAGACAAGUUUACUGUGGACAAAAAAAUGGGCUAGAAUGUCUUCAGCUUCUCAGGCCCUUAAUAGGGCUGAUGAUGGAUGACUCUACUGGAGAAAAGGAAGACAAAGAGGUUUCAGAUCAUCAAUAAAGCAGCUGACUCUCAAGAAAUGGCUGGAAAUCAUAUUUAAAGUCGAUCUUAAAUGAAUUUGAAAAAAAUGCACAUAAAGAUCGUUACCUGCCUCGUUUGGACAUAUCAGACCUAUGAAUAUUUAUGUAGAAACAAGAGCUUAUAAUUAUCACAAAAAGAAAAUGAACACUACUUUUCCCAUUUAGAAAAAUAUGAAAGGCAAAUUUUAAAUGAAAACUCUCUUGGGACAUUUGAUAUGUCAUGAACUAUCAAGACCAUGACUAUUUUUUAAUAGCUUUUGAAAUCUUUCUCGAAAAUGUCUCUCUUCUUUUCUCCAUUCUUAUUUAUUCCUUAGUUUUGACUUUAAUAUAUUUAUUAUUCUCAGUUGCUUCUGUAAGCCUUAACUUUUAUCAAAUUUGUAAAAUAGCAGAGAAUAGAAUUUUGAUGUCAUUCAAAUGCCUCACCUAGUACUAUGCACAUAGUAAACACACAACUAAUACAACUGCACUUGGAUUCAAAGAUCCUUCAAUGGUGGAGAAUAGAAAAGCUAUAGGGCAGGAUUUCUAGUCUGCACAGAGCUGAGCACAGAGGAGCAGUGCUGUGUCAAGGGCAAGACUCUCACAAGUGGCUGGAGCAAACAGAGAGGAAAGACUCUUCCCCUAGAACCUAAGUAGCCAGUUAUUCAGGCCCAAAGGACCCCUCUGUUGCUAAAUCAGGGAUCAAGCCUUAAAUAGGUUAAUUUUUUCCUUAUGUGAACAUACAAGGGUAAGCAGACUUACCAUUCUCAUCAAAAGGAGAUGGAAAAGGGACAUAGAGGUCUGACAUCUGCAUAAGCUACCUAGCUACCUGCAAUCUAGCUGGUACAACAGCUAUCUUUAAUUUUUAGUAAGGGAGCUCAAGUAAGUUGCCCUAGAUGAAAAAACCAGUAAGGAGAAAGCUUAAAUAACUUGCCCAAGAUGACACAGCUAGCACAGGGCAGUGCUUGAGUAACUUCCCGAGGUUACACAGGUAGUGAGAGGUGGAAUUGCUAGGUUGUUCAGCACCACACUUUUCUCCCCUCUACCUCAAUGGUUCCUGGCUCUGUGUGGGUGUCUCCUAGCAGAUAAAAUGGCCCUCUUCCAUUUACAUUUGUCUUAUCCUUAUAUCUUCAAAAUGGUUCGUAAGACAAAAAGAGCCUGCCCUUGAUAGACUGCCUCCCACUGCAGCAAGUCUAGCACUGAGCAGCCCUAAGACUAGAAUGCCAACUUCGUAGAGGGAGGAUAGAUAGGAAAGGCUCCUGAGACCUGGGGCCUGGGAGAAGGAAGUAGUAGGUUCAAGAUUAAGAGGAGGUGAGUGAUACGUGUGGCUCAGACAUAAAAUGUAAUGCCCACCAAAAAACUCAGUCAUCAAUCUAAGUAAUAUUUACUGAAAUGAUUUUUAAAAUCACAGUAUGAGAAACCCGUGAAGAACAAAAUAUCAAACUUGUAAAUAAAGACAGGAUCCGGCAGGGCCAGUGUGGUGGUGAGGCAAGUGAGGCUAAGUUAUGUAAAUGAAGGGUUGGACCCUAUCUUAAUUUUAAACUGCUGAAAUUUUAUUUAUCAUGGGCUUUUUUGGCAUUUUGAUUGUUAAAAUAAUUCAUUAUAUUGUUUAUCUUGAUUACUGCAUUUUGGCAUCCCCAUAAAUUUUGUGCCUGAGCUGACUGCCUCACUCACUUCAUUCUAACGUUGGCUUUAGGGUGAAGGCUGGGGAGCCAAUCUGAACCUGACAAAUAGUCUGGGCCUCACAAAAGAAAGGAGAAAGGUGGGAGCCUCACUAAGAAUUUCAUGCCGGGCUCCUCUUGGCACAUUAUUUUGUUUGUUCCUGACGGCCACCCUCCAAGGCAGCUAUUAGUAUUAUCAUUUAUGUAGGAAACUGAGUGCCAGUAUUACAAGGGUAGAAAGUGACUGAGCUGGGUUUCAGCCAAGGCCUAUCUGCCUCUAGAUCCUGGCAAUUCCCACUACUGGCUGAUACGUGCCUAAUAGUUUAUAACCAAAAUUCUUGACAUUUUCUCCACCUUUCAAGUCACAAGCUCCACCACAUGAAGACAGAAAUCACAAUGGGAAAUUUCAUUUGCUUGUCUACUCUUGAAGCUGCGUGAAAUUUUAAACCAUAGCUCUAUUUUCCUGAUGUCCUUAAAUUACUAUUCUUCCCAAGUUAUUCAUAUUUUACGUCUAGUAUGAGGCUCAGACAGUAAAAGUGUGAAUGCAAUGCACCCAUUUUACAUGUAUCAUUCAUUACUAUGCUCGAUUGGUGUGCCCUUUGCCGCACCACAGCAUAUUUAGAACAAAACAGAUCAGUCGGUUGGGGGGAUUCAGUAACACUCUACACUUGUAUCCAGUCAAUUGUUGAUGGUAAUCCAAUCUUGGAUGUGGUGAAAAGAGGGUGGGCUUAGGGUCUAAGUGAAAUUGACUGCCAGUGUGUGACUCUGAAUCAUUUAUUUAUAUCUCUGAGGUUUUCGUUCCCUUUUUUAUAAAAAUUUUAUUAAAUAAGUUUUCAUUUUUCCGUAAAACUAAGACUGAAGGAAAGUCUGCCUUUCUUAAAGUCAGCAAGGUCUACUGAUAAAGAAGAUACCUUGUAAUCUCUACUUUCAUGACAGAAAUCCAGGCCUAAUCAAUACUUUUUUCUAUUAUCACUGUAAUUAAGGCAUAAGGCUUUCCCUGAUAUACAAAUGAUUAAACCUCUCAAUAAACAACUUCACAUAGGUCUGGCUCUGCUGAUUACUUUAUCAUUGCCUUCUGCAAUAGCCACUAUUGCCAUCUACAGCUUGGGCUCCUCUCCAUAAAUAGAGUACAAUUAACAAAUGCAUUAUUGUCAUCUUGUUUGUAUAAAUGUUGUUGUGAACAAUAGCCAUUUAUUAUCUAAGAUGUCACCUUUUGGCUUUCACAAACUAACAUUUCAUGAAUUCAUAGACCAUGCACAGUCUUUCAGGCAGAAUUAAUCAAAUAUCUCUUUGGGACCCUAAUAGAUUUUGGGGGCAUAAUUCUGUUAUGUUUGUGUCAUCUUUGCACGUUCAAUGCCAAGUAUAAUGCCUGGCAUAUAAUAGGUUCCACAACAGAUAAUAGUUGAUCCUUGAUGGAAAUCACUCAGUUUAUUUCGUUUUGUUCCUGAAAAAAUAAACACUGCAAACACUGGUCUUUCCAGAGUCUCACCGGAUAAAUAUCUGUGUCCUCCACCAAAUGGCCCAUGAAUUAGCACAUCAGAGUGAAGAGAAAGGAUUAGGGACUAGAAGAACUAGUAGAUGAUACUAAUCAAGCUUCAGACUUAUUGAAUUAAUUUAGAUCAAAGGCUGACUAAUCCUUGUCAUUUAGCCCAUUUUCUAAUAUUUGAGCAUUUAAUCUUUUGGGGAGAUCUUCUUUGGAGGAAUACAUUCAUUCAAUAGAUUGAAUAUUUAUGGAUCAGAUAUUGUUUCAGGUUCUAGAGGCUCAAAAAUGUCUAAGAUAUUAUCUCUGUCUUUAAGGCUAUCACAGGUUAAUGGGUAAUGUACACAGAGUUAAAAUGCAGUGCAAAUGCAUAGAAACAUGUCCAAGGAAUAAUACGGGCAUAAAUGAGAAGUUAUUGGCUUUUAUUUCCUGAGCCUAGGAAUGUGUAGCAAAGAAGCUUCAAAGUGGUCUAAAGAAUGAGUAGGAAUUUUCCAGCCAGUACAAAAUAGCAUAAUAAGCUUAGGGAUUUUUUUUUUCUUUUUUGAGAUGGAGUCUUGCUCUUGUCACCCAGGAUAGAAUGCCAUGGUGCGAUCUUGGCUCACUGCAACUUCCACCUCCCGGGUUCAAGUGAUUCUCUUGCCUCAGACUCUUAAGUAGCUGGGAUUAUAGGCACCUGCCACCACACCCGACUAAUUUUUGUAUUUUUAUUAGAGACGGGGUUUUGCCAUGUUGGCCAGGCUGGUCUUGAGCUCCCUAACCUCGUGCUCUGCCCACCUCGGCCUCCCAAAGUUCUGGGAUUACAGGCGUGAGCCACUGCGCCCAGUCAGGAGUUUUAAUAGCUUCAUAUGGUUGGAACACAGGAUGCUUGGAGAGGGCAGGGGAUUACGCAGCACAUUGGGUCAGGGAUCAGAUGAUAGGGAGCCCUCUGUACCUGUUGAGUUUUGACUUGGACCUUUUGGUCAGAAGUUCUCAACAGUCCUGAGAAAUACAGGAUACUACUUGGCUCACAUCCCAAUUAGUACGAAUGGGUCAUCCAGAGUGAUUAAUCCCCUUUGCAUAUGUGAUUUUGGUUUGGCCUUUUGCCCUGAGAAUUUCAACCUUGGCUGUAUAUUAGAAUCCUAUAGUGGGAACUUUUGAAAAAUACAUAUUUGUUCUUCUCCUCUAUGUCACCCCUCUAAUCAGCUUACUGAACACAGCCCAGCAGUAAUCCCUAAACUCAUGUUUAGGGACUUCUGAAGUGGGGAGACAUUGACAGGUGUUAAACAGGGUUAAAACAUCAAAGUAAAUGUACCUUUAUGUCAUUUUAUAAAUGACACUCUGGAAAGGUCAGAUUGAUCACUGUGGGGAGGAUGUUUGGGAAGGGAGAUAAAGGGCACAAAUGACCAAUGGCAGGGAUUCUUCAAAUCACUGAAGUAGUUAGAGCCAGGUAUAAAAAGAAUAUGAGCUAAGUCAGUGGGGGUGUAAAGGAGGAGCUAGAAAUGGAUAGCAUUAUAACUAUAGAAUCCAUAAGACAGGUUGCAUGAAACUGAAUGAGUAAAGCGAUGAACACUAAAGAGUUUAGAAUGAUUCUAGAUUCUGGCUGGGGUUUCUGGAAAAGGAAAGAGAUAAAUUCCAGGAGGUUUGGAGAAAGAAAAGCAACAAACUCAACUUGGGACAUGAUUAGAACUUGAGAUGAUUGUGGUUUAUUCAAGAUUUUAUGUCUUGCAGGCAGAUUUAUAUCCCAGCCUGGAGCUCAGGAAGAAGGUCUGGGCUGAGGAUAGGGAUUUGGGACGUAUCUGUUGGGAAAAAGCUGAGGGUUGGGAGGGAAACUGAGGCAGGGCUUGCAUAAUGUCUUCUGGAAUGUGUCUAGACUUGCUGGCUCCUUGCUUAUGGCCCUCCUAGGCUCCUAGGCUCCUAUUCCCAUUAUCUCAAGUAGCAGAACAUGUUCCAUAUAAAUGCUAAACCAUCACAGCUGUAAAUCAUGUGCUUAAUGCAACAUGUCCUUUUGACCUCCACAUUCUCACCACCUGUUUCUUUGUUGGAUUACCAAUAAAUACCGUGGGCUCCCAGAGCUCUGGGCCUUCACAGACUCCAUGAUAGUGAUGGCCCACCUUUUUCUCUUUCACUGUCUUUUCCUCAAUCCUUUGACUCUGCCAGACUUUGUCACCCCAAUGACCUGGUAUUGGGUCUGAUCACCCCAACAACAUCUUUGUUUAGGUAGAAGUCAGAAGUUAAGUCAGUAGGUGAGAUUGCUCAGAAAGCAGAGACAGUAACAGAAUACUAAGAAGUGUAAGCCUAAAAGCACUAAGUUUUAAGAUGAGGGUUAAAAGAAAGUGUUAGCAAAGAAGACUGAGGGAGCAGCCACAGAGAUGGCAGGAAACCCAGGGAAGACAAGCAUGAUAGAAGUUACCAAAGCCAGAAAAAAAUUUCAAAAAGAAGAUGCGGCAAGCGUAGAAACAUUUCUAAGACAGACCAAAGAAUGAAAUGAACAUUGAGGAGGUCCUCAGUAAUUAUGGUAAAGGCAAAUUCAAUCUAGCAACUAGGAAAAUUGAAGUCAAUUUUGUGUGUGUUGAGAAAUUUAUUGUGGUGAAGGAGAGAUAAGAAGUAUAAUAAUUUUUCAAGAAGCUUGCCUGAGGAGGAGAUAAAUGGGGUGUCAGCUUGCUAGAAAAGGAUGAGUGGUUGAAUGCACAGAUGUGUCUGCUUUUGAGAUUGGAGAGAAAUGGCAAAACUUGCUGAGUGGAAGAUAGAGUUUAACAAUUGGAAAGUAUAGUUGACACAAGAAGGGAUGAGAGUCUACAGAAUGAGUGGGGCUUUCUCUAGUUUUCUUUAUGCUCUAAGCUGCUCCCACUGAGUUGGGAAAGUAAGAAAGUGCAUAUGAGAGAGGAAAUGGAAAUACCUCUCCCAUACCUUCCUACCUUAAUCAUUAGAAUAACACCUUUCCUUUUUUACCACACCAAAACUUUGAAGAUAAGUAUAUUUAGGCACAGGGAUUUUUAUGGCAUAAAAAUAUCACAAAUAUUAGUUGUGAUUAGUAAAAUCCUCUCACUCAAACUGCACAAAAUCACAUCAACUUGACUUCAAAAACAGGGUAAAAGCAAUUGUUCAUUUAAUUAUCUUAAAACUCAACUUUAGGUGUUUUGUUGUUGUUGUUGCUUUGCAAAAAUUGGCAAUUAUCAGCUCCUGAACAAAAGAGCUCCUCCCACGAUGCCUGAAAAUACUAAUUUAGGUACAUUGAAAGGGGGAAAGUCUGUCCAUGUAUUAUUCAGUUCAUUAGUCAAGUAGAGCUAAAGCGGUUAAUAUUUGGUCCAAUUCUCCAUCUUUCUCUUAUUUUUCAAGUGAGGAGACUGAUCAUUAUUGAGAAAAUGUGCUCACACUGUGUGAAUGUUUUUAUUUUAUGCGUCUUCAGAGUCUGAUAAGGGCACUAUGCAUUUAGGGUUUUAUUUUUUAAAAAUAGUACCUUUCCUUAGUGUACAGUUAUUCAGAAACAUCUGUUGGUUUCAUUUUUGAAGUUGUAAUGGCAUUCACACAAAGCAUGGAAAACAUAAAUAGCAUAUAAUGAUGGAAAGGACUCAUCACAGGAAACCAAGAUUUAACCUCAGUGGAAAUUACAUAGGGGAAAAAAGAGCAGUAUUUUGUCUCAGACAGACCUAAAUUGAGAUUACAACUGUGAUACCAGCUGUCUCAGGGCAAGUUUCUUAGCCCCUACAAACAUUACUUGUUAAAUGCUGAUAGGCCCUUUCUGUUGGGCAGGAAUUUCUGCGGAAGCUAUCUUAGGUUAGUUUAUAGCUAUAGUUCCUAAGCCCUCACCAAAGCCACAGAAUGAAAGAAAAAGUUUAUCUUUCCCAGGUCUCCAAAACUGCCAAAAUUAUGUUUUUACCCUAGAGAAUAGAACAGAGCCAAACUUGAGAAAAAGUAACCUUUAAUGGGCUGUGAGAGUAAUCACUGACAGGACAAUGAGGAACAGGGGUAGAAAUCGGGGAAAGGAAGGCAGUACACCUGAUGACACGGGCACACCGGGGCUGGGUGAGAGCUCCGAUUUUGUUUAGUUUCUAUGAUUUGAGUACUUCAGUCUCUUUUUCUACAACCCUGUUGACUGGAAAGGUACACAGAUUCUACAAGCACAAGGCCCUGUAGACUUAGGCAAGUUUAAACCUAAUAGAUGAAAUGGCCAGCUUUGCAGAGCAAAAUAUCAAAGGGAGUGAGCCAAAUAAGAGCCACCAGUGGGGAAAAAUCUGAAGGCCAUAGAGAUGAGAAUAGGAACUUCCCACUCCAUCAUCAAUGUCCAUUCUGGUGUUCUUCUUUAAUAUGUGCUACACUCUACCCAUGGCCUCUUUUUCAUUCCCAAUAUUACUUAUUUGUGAUUUCCUUUAUUUAAAAAUAAUCAAUACUGCCAGAGGUUAUCCAUUUGUCUUUCCAAAAAACUAGUUUUGGCCUUUGUUGAUUCUUUCUGUAAUCUGUUGCUUUCUAUUUUAUUAAUUUUGGCCCUUUUUCUUUCUUUCUAGUCUUUUUGGGUUUAUUCUGUUAUUUUUCUAACUUCUUAAGUACGUGCUUAGUUCAUUUUUUAAAAAUUCUUUUUAUUUUGUAAUUUUAUAAAUUUUCUAAGUACCUCUUUAGUUAGGCCAUCCAGGUUUUGAGUAUCGUAUCUUAAUUGUAAUCGAGCUCCAAAUACUUUAUUUCCAUAAAAAUUUGUCUUUGAAGUUUGUUACUAAAUUUAUAAAUUAUGAUGAAUUAUAUUUAUCUUUGCAUUACUGUUUUCUAACUUAAUUGCAUAGUGGACAGAGAAGAUAGUAUGUUUGAUACAGACCAUCUAGUAUGUUGAAACUUGCCUUGUAACUAAGUGCAUGGUCAAUUUUGAAAUGCCUCAUUUAUGCAUGAAAAGAAUGAGUCUUCUCUAAUUGUUGUCAUUCUCUAAUUGUUGUAGAUAAAACUACCUAGUUCUCUAAUUGUUGUAGAUAAAACUACCUAACUGUAUUAUUUGAAUUUUCUAUAUUCUUAAAAAAUUUUGCUACCCAUGAGUUAAUUAGUGGCAGAAAUGUGAGUUCAUUGAUUUUCUUUGGAAUGUUAUCAAUUUCUGUUUUAUAU
ensembl:lncRNA novel transcript